rnacentral:rRNA from 1 species
UACGUAGGGUGCGAGCGUUAAUCGGAAUUACUGGGCGUAAAGCGUGCGCAGGCGGUGAUGUAAGACAGGUGUGAAAUCCCCGGGCUUAACCUGGGAACUGCAUUUGUGACUGCAUCGCUGGAGUGCGGCAGAGGGGAUGGAAUUCCGCGUGUAGCAGUGAAAUGCGUAGAUAUGCGGAGAACACCGAUGGCGAAGGCAAUCCCCUGGGCCUGCACUGACGCUCAUGCACGAAAGCGUGGGGAGCAAACAGG